UACGUAGGAUGCAAGCGUUGUCCGGAAUUAUUGGGCGUAAAGAGCGAGCAGGCGGUUUAUCAAGUCAGAUGUAAAAUAUCCCGGCUUAACCGGGAGGGGCCAUUUGAAACUGAUGGACUAGAGUGGAGCAGAGGAUAGUGGAAUUCCCGGUGUAGUGGUGAAAUGCGUAGAUAUCGGGAGGAACACCAGUGGCGAAGGCGACUAUCUGGGCUUUAACUGACGCUGAGGCGCGAAGGCCGGGGGAGCAAACAGG
rnacentral:rRNA from 1 species